AUUGAACGCUGGCGGCCGGCCUAACACAUGCAAGUCGAGCGGAGCGGCGCACGGGUGAGUAAUGCCUAGGAAUCUGCCUGGUAGUGGGGGAUAACGUCCGGAAACGGGCGCUAAUACCGCCUACUAUCCGAUGAGCCUAGGUCGGGUGAGCUAGUUGGUGGGGUAAAGGCCUACCAAGGCGACGAUCCGACACUGGUCUGAGAGGAGGAUCAGUCACAAGCGAAGUGAUAAAAGGUCCAGACUCAUACGGGAGGAAUCAGUGGGUAAUAUUGGGGAAAGGGCGAAAGCGUGGUCCAGCCAUGCCGCGUGGGUGAAGAAGGUCUUCGGAUGGUAAAUCACUUUAAGUUGGGAGGCGUUACCAACAGAAUAAGCACCGGCUAACUGCGGGCCAGCAGCCGCGGUAAUUC
rnacentral:rRNA from 1 species